UGGAACCUUUAGCAGAAUGUUGGCAGAAAAGAGUCUGGGACAAUGUGAAGUUGAGGUGGAGGAUGGCAGAAGGUAUUCACAGUUGGCCAAUGCAUAACUGGCCACCCUAAUGGGCACCAACUUUUAGAAGGAGAGAGGAGCCUACAGGCUGGGUAAAAAAUAUUACAUCUGGAAUUAAUUCACAAAAAUAUAGCUGCAGGAGAUUGUAUCUGCAAUAUACUCAGCCCAAUAUUUUCACAGUACAAUCCACUCAUAGUCAAAAGCCUGCUUGGAAAACCUGCUUGUGUAUGUAGAAAUAGCUUCAAAUCACUCAGAGAGCUCUUGGUGAGCAGUCCAUGGCAAAGUAAGGGCCAGCAUUACGGAAACAAUGCACAGAACUGCUCCCAGCAUUGCAUUGAAGAUGAAUGGCAUUGCAAACUGAAGACUGUUACGUGCAUAUCAGAGCUCCUACAUGUGCAAGGACCCAGGCAUGCAAGCAAUUGUUAUUUUAUAUCAGAGACUAAAAACUAAUUAACCACAGAGACACAGCAAGGUUUAUGGAUGAAAUGUGGGAAGAGACUGUACAUAAAAUGUAGGCAAGUGGGGGGGGUUUAAACACAAUUUGGGAAUUUUAUAAAACAGUUAUAUGUUUAGUCUGUUUUGCUGGGUUGGAUAGUGGUUGUGACAGAGUUAAGAACUCAAUGUUUAAGGACCCAGUCCAGUUCUAGUCACAUAUAAGCAUGCAACUAAUUGUGCAGGAAUGUGGAUGGAGAUGCACAUUUAAACAUGAUGGAUAAUGUUCCCAAGCUGUGGUCCACAAGCUUCAUUCAGAUGGUCCAUGGUAUGUUUCUGGAUUAGUAGUUGAAGAUGAGAGACGACACAUCCAUCACAUUAUUCACAUUGGUUUUAAUUAUAUUUUUAUUGCUUUGAUAUUGUUGUAACCUUCCCUGGGAUCUCUGGGUGAAGGGUAGGUAAUAAAUGAUGAUGAUGAUGAUGAUGAUGAUGAUAACCACAAUAAUAAAAGAGAAAUAA